UUCUCAGGUUGGCAAUAGCUCAGGAAGUUACGUGCAUGCGAGAGAUGUGCAACCCAUCUGUGUCAAUAGAGCUUCGGGUUGAUCGCAGACUAGACCUGGUCGUAAAGUAAGUUGCUGAUUUUCGCACGCAAUGGGUGAUACAGUGUGGUUAUGUUGCGAAAAGUGCGCCGAGAGUUUCCAUCUUCAUACAUGGCUACUACCAGGCCGAUACUGUAGUUCGAACAGAUUUUCACAAUUGAAACUUAAGGUGAACUGAUCGAACAACUCUUGUUCGAAGUGUAUAUAUUGAAUUCUGCUAUGCGAAAAAAGUGACCCUCUUAUGUUAAAGAAACCUUACAGGUAGGAUGAUUUUGGAGAAUCCGCUGCCAUCUUCACAAGGCCUGCCCUCUCAAACUGUUCGUCAGGAUUGUGGUGCUCCAUGCCCUGAAGCUGUACAGGCUCCCGGAGUGUUACGCCUGCUCAGACCGCAGAAGGAGAGCCUCAUGUCAAGUAAGGGGACCCCGCGGUCAACUUCUGGGACUGCUCCCAGGAAGCAUUCUUCCUGAGGGCUUCAUGUGGUCAUCCAUCAGCCGGCAGGUCCGGCGACACCUAGCAAGGUGCAAUCUACACGAAACGAUGUUAAGCAAGGUCAGCAGGUGGAGCAAUACCAAUACCGCAAAGUAAAGAAAGUAACGAUUCAAACGGGUGGCUCCAAGAAUGGAUCGAGAGUGUGAGAUUAUGGAGGACGUUGGGAUUAUUAAAAUGAAAGCGCAUUCUGGUUCUAGCUCUAAAACAAGAAAAAUUUAGUAACUAGUGUGUUACUAGUAAGAAAUAAGAACUUCUUAUUGAUAUAUAAGAUUUUACUUGUAAUUAAGUGUCAUUGUUUUCCCGAUAUUCUUGGCGUAUUCUGUGAAACCAAUAGGUUAUGGCCCACGAUUCGUCGUUCUGUAAAUUUUUUUAUUUUUAUUUUUUAUUUUUUUUAUUUAGAGUGCUAGAUCAGAGUGCUAGAUCUUGAUUAAUUCGGCGGUUUACAACCGAUUUAGUUAUUUUGUUUUGUUUUCGAGCAAUUGACUGCCUCAGAAAUAAUAUCAGAGUGAUUGACUUCUUUAAGAGCAAUUGAUCAAG